UACGGAGGGGGCUAGCGUUGUUCGGAAUGACUGGGCGUAAAGGGCGCGUAGGCGGCGAUUCAAGUCAGAUGUGAAAGGCCUGGGCUCAACCCGGGAACUGCAUUUGAUACUGGAUUGCUUGAGUCCGGGAGAGGAUGGCGGAAUUCCCAGUGUAGAGGUGAAAUUCGUAGAUAUUGGGAAGAACACCGGUGGCGAAGGCGGCCAUCUGGACCGGUACUGACGCUGAGGCGCGAAAGCGUGGGGAGCGAACAGG
rnacentral:rRNA from 1 species